CUGCCUGAAAGUCUGUCAGAUUCAAGGAAGCCGGUAAAAGCCGGCGCUGCCCCGCAACUGUAAGCGGUACGAAAUCCACAGGAUGCCACUGGUUUCUCCGGAAACCGGGAAGGCGUGGAAAGUAGGUUAAGCCGCAAGCCAGGAGACUUAUCUGACGGAGAAUCUAAUC
rnacentral:ncRNA from 2 species